rnacentral:rRNA from 1 species
GUGGGGAAUAUUGGACAAUGGGCGAAAGCCUGAUCCAGCCAUGCCGCGUGUGUGAAGCAGGUCUUCGGAUUGUAAAGCACUUUAAGUUGGGAGGAAGGGCAGUAAGUUAAUACCUUGCUGUUUUGACGUUACCAACAGAAUAAGCACCGGCUAACUUCGUGCCAGCAGCCGCGGUAAUACGAAGGGUGCAAGCGUUAAUCGGAAUUACUGGGCGUAAAGCGCGCGUAGGUGGUUCAGCAAGUUGGAGGUGAAAUCCCCGGGCUCAACCUGGGAACUGCCUCCAAAACUACUGGGCUAGAGUACGGUAGAGGGUAGUGGAAUUUCCUGUGUAGCGGUGAAAUGCGUAGAUAUAGGAAGGAACACCAGUGGCGAAGGCGACUACCUGGACUGAUACUGACACUGAGGUGCGAAAGCGUGGGGAGCAAACAGGAUUAGAUACCCUAGUAGUCC